rnacentral:rRNA from 1 species
GACGAACGCUGGCGGCGUGCUUAACACAUGCAAGUCGAACGGAAAGGCCCGGCUCUUGUGGGGUGCUCGAGUGGCGAACGGGGGAGUAACACGUGAGUAACCUGCCCUUGACUGUGGGAUAACUUCAGGGAACUGGGGCUCAUAUCGGAUAGGAUCUCCUGCUGCAUGGGGGGGGUUGGAAAGUGUCGGCGGUUGUGGAUGGACUCGCGGCUUAUCAGCUUGUUGGUGGGGUAGUGGAUUACCAAGGCUUUGAGGGGUAGGCGGCCUGAGAGGGUGGCCGGCCACAUUGGGACUGCGAUACGGAGCAGACUCGUACGGGAGGCAGCAGUGGGGAAUCUUGCACAAUAGGCGGAAGCCUGAUGCAGCAACGCCGGGUGCGGGAUGCCGGCUUUCGGGUUGUAAACCGAUUUGGAAUGUGACGAAGCGUGAGUGACGGUAAUGGGUAAAGAAGCACCGGCUAACUACGUG